UGGGGAAUAUUGCACAAUGGGGGAAACCCUGAUGCAGCGACGCCGCGUGAGCGAAGAAGGUUUUCGAAUCGUAAAGCUCUGUCCUAUGAGAAGAUAAUGACGGUAUCAUAGGAGGAAGCCCCGGCUAAAUACGCGCCAGCAGCCGCGGUAAUACGUAUGGGGCGAGCGUUGUCCGGAAUUAUUGGGCGUAAAGCGCGCGCAGGUGGUUUAGAAAGUCUGAUGUGAAAGCCCACGGCUCAACCGUGGAGGGUCAUUGGAAACUAAUAAACUUGAGUGCAGGAGAGAAAAGUGGAAUUCCUAGUGUAGCGGUGAAAUGCGUAGAGAUUAGGAGGAACACCGGUGGCGAAAGCGGCUUUUUGGCCUGCAACUGACACUGAGGCGCGAAAGCGUGGGGAGCAAACAGG
rnacentral:rRNA from 1 species